rnacentral:lncRNA from 1 species
UUUGUUUGUCUGUUAGCAACUUUACGGAGAAAGUUACAGACGGAUUGACCUGAAAUUUUCACCAGAGGUGCGUCUCAGCCCCAGGAGGAUCCCGUUAAAUUUUGGUGGUGAUCCGGACAAAAUUCUGGAUACUGUGAUCCAGAACACACAAAAAUAAGGGUGUCGUUGGAAUUUUCAAUGCUGAAAGAUAACCAAUGGGCGGCAGAGUGGUGUAGAUAGGCAGCACAGUGGUGUAGUGGUUAGCACUGUCGCCUCACAACAAGAAGGUCCUGGGUUUGAAUCCUGGUCAGGGCAUUUCUUGUUCAAGGGGGGACAUGAGCUGCUUGGCGGAGGUCUGCGCUCUCAGAGUGCUUUUCUCGUUAGGUAUAUGAACAUACAACAUUCAGGCAUCCACGUAUGAGCAAGUUGAACGGGUAAAUGAUUUCAUUUGUGCUUGGCAUGAAUGCAACAUCAGAGUUGAUGCCAUUUCUUCAAGUGUCAAUACCAAAAUGAUGGUUUUCAUGGUUUCUUCAAUGUGCAUUUCCACUUGUAAUGUGAGAGAAAGCAGCAGAGUUCUCACGUCCUUCCUAAACUCAGAGUGGUCUUGACUUCUCUAAACGUCUUCUUCAUCAGUUUGAUCCACUCAUGUUUAUUCCCCUGCUCUCCACAGUAAGAGUCACCUUUCUACACCCUUUCUCAAUUGGAAGUUCAAUUAUUCCUCUUUCCAUAUAAAAUUGAAUUGAAUUUGACAGCCUGACACAACGUAGGUCUGACGCUUUUCUCUGUUCCACUAUGUUUGACAAGUAAAGUCCAGGUGUGGUGUUGAGGUGGAUGUAAAAAAAAGAACUGCACUGUCCUAAACACGCGUUAGCCUGUGCCUUAAACAUCAGUGGACAAAGUAAAGUUUAUGAUGUUUCGCCUCUACACCUCUGCUCCAUUCUGAAGUUAAAGUAUAAAUCGUGAUCACUGAAGGAUGGGCUGACUCUCACUCUCACUCUCACUCUCUCUGAUCUUAUCUCAAUCUCUUGUUCAGGCGUCCACGGCCACACACAGACUAUGAUAGAUACUGAGGAAACACACCCACAUACCCUUUCUCUCUCUCUCUCUCUCCCCCUCUCUCACACCCACACACACACUCAUAGCUGGGACGCCCCUCUCUGUGAACCAUUAUCAUUACCAGGUGUUGAAAAGAAGAGAUAUCAUUGCUGGUGAUUCAUCAAUCAUCACACUCCCCUCAUACACUUCUACUGCUGCCAGAAGACCUUUUUUUUUUUUUUUAGAGAAGAAGAAAGAUGUAAAACAUUUUGACCACCUGUGCGCCUUGGCUCAUUUUUCACUUUUACAAAAUGUCAGGAAAAAGAUAAAUAAAAGGAUAUAUGCUUUUAUCAGAGCCAGAGAGGGAAGUGCAGGAAGGGGGUUACUGCACUUCUAUACAUUUAGGGUCAAAGGUUUGUGAGGCUAUCAAAGUUAUGAUAUACUGUGUGAAAGGGAUUUCUCCUGAACGAUGUUUUUGUUUUCUCCACUGAGUGUGGACUUUCAAAUUGUGAGAAACACAAUCAGACCAUCUGCCAGACUGCAGAGACUGAGGGCCUGAUCUACUAAAGGCUCAUGCAAAAACACGUGCAAACUUGAUAGCGCACGCAAACCUGAUCUACUAACCGGGUGCACCGAGGAGUGCAUCUGUCAAAUGAGCAAAACAGAACGCGCAAUCGAUUCAGCAUGUUUGCCUUCAUGAAUAUGCAGAAUGUAUGUAGAUCAUCAGAAUGCGCAAAAUUCUGGGAGGAGCAGAUGCAAACCGAAUCAUUUGGCAACUGCGAUGUGAUUUAUCAAACUGGUUGCAGUCGCUGUUUUGCGUCUAUAUUUAGCACAUUUGAAAGCAAUACACAGCAUUACACACGGUCAUUAUGGGGAGAAGGAUGCAGAAGUGCCAUGAUAGACGCCAUGGUCCUUGUCCAAAAGCUUGUGAUUUAUUUCGUUUUUCUGGUAAACGGCGAUUUUUGUAAAUAAUAAGGUCAAACACCGAAUAGACGGAAAAACGAUGUUUGUCUUAUUGAUUUUACAUCGUUUUAAUCCCUUUUUUGAUUUCUAGUAUAUCUUCUUGCAGCUGAAAAGCACUUUGUGUUGCCUUGUGUAUGAAUUGAGCUACACAAAUAAACUUGCCUUGCCUUUUAUGCAGUUUCCCAAAACGACAUGCGCAAUUCCAUGGCUGCAAACACUCUGCUCUCACAAACUCUCCAUGGUGACGGCCGCAGAAUCCUCCUUUAAAGAGGGCGGUCCACAUCACUUUAGCUCCAGCUAUCAAUUGCGAACACAAUGAUAGUAGAUCACCCGCAACACGCCCACUAAUAGCACGUGCAAUUUUUUUGUUUGCACACGCAAUUUAGCGCUCGCUAUUGUGGAUCAUAGUAGAUCAGGCCCUAAGAGUCUUCAGAUAAAAUUUGUUGUGAAUUGAGGAUGGAUUUAUUGUCAUUUCUUAUAUGACUUAAGUUUGACUAAUGUUAAAAGACAUUCAGGUAAUAAAUUAGAAGUUUUAAUGAUGUCUUAUUUCAUAAAGUCAUCCAUUGAAUCAUCCAUCCAGUAAAUCAGAUGGUGCUCACAGGCUAACCAAACUACUCCCAUAGGCUACAUCGUUCCCCCUCAUAUUAAGCCUAAUAGGCUUCAAUCCGUUACAGAUAGAUGAACCUUAAAUCUUUCCCCCAGUAGGUUUGAUAUGUUUUUACAUGUAUUUUUGAUAAAUAACUAUGUCCCAAAAUCAGAUGUUUGACGGUCGAAAUGUUUCAAAUGACACAGAAAUGAAAACUAACGACCCCACAAAGUACUUCCUCGGUGUCGCCUUUAGUGCUGAGCUUUUCCUGCUGUGGUGUCACUUCACUUUCCAAAGACAGCCCGUUAAUCAGUCAGCAGGCUGUAAAUCAACAUUCAAUUCGGAAACACAAAGACGCACAGCAGAUAUUUAUUUAUACCAAAACGUUACAGAAGAUUUCUUGUACCGCUUUGCCCCCGUGUCCGUCUGAAACGCUACGCUCCACUGCUCUAUUUAUCAAAGUCAGCAGCCAGAGGAAAAGGAGGAACAAGACGGGCCCAGACUGCACUGCGUCCAAGUCUCACACACACACACACACAAGCUGUUUUCAUUCAGAAAGUCGGCAUGUGGAGCCCCCUCCUCCAGUCCGAAGGCAGGGGGAAAACACGGGUGGUGCGAAUUCUCUAACGGUCUCCAGUCACAGAAUUUGGCCGACGCUCCUCUCCAUCAAGGCAUUCCAGGAGAGACAGAUAAUUCGACUGUUUCCUCCUAUUUACAUCCUGAGCGAGCACACUGAAGCUCCACCGGCGUGUGUUUACUUCAGAGACAGAAGGUGUGCAUGUGCAGGAGUAAGUAUGCAGCGCUGAAACAAGUAGUCAGAUCCUCAACUUAAGUCAAAGUACAAACAUGCUGUGAAAAUCCUCCACUGAAAUCCUCCAGGUUUUGACUCAUCAUGAAUCUGAUUGAACUCAGUGCUGAUGUCUCUGUGUGGUUAUCAUUAUCAUUACACUCAAAAUCGACUCCCGAAUUUCAGUAGUGAUGAAAAACAGUUCUUCUGACUCUGCUGAAUCUUUAGAAUCCGUUCAUUGAAAUGAUUCGUUCAAAAGAUUCGUUCACUGAAUCAGUCAGUGCUUCAGGGCCCAGUCCUGCCGGGUGCGGUGCACGAGUGAGUGACACAGCGUUCAUUCAUUGAACAAGCCCCUCCCCAUCUUGCUGCUGAAGUUACAGCAUCGUUCAAUGGGUGACAUGUUUUAUUCAUUCACCAAGUCGUGACGGAGGAGUCGGAAAACUCACCUCUUUGUGUGCCGCUGACAUUCGUGUCGUGAAGCAAGCAGCACGCCCACGAAACAUGCGCCAGUCGUAGUUUUUUUAUAUCACGGAAAAGUGUAGAGAUUAAAAACAAAUACACAGUGAACGAACUGGUUCUCGGCAGUUUGUGGAUGAUGCUGCGUCCCUCCCUCCUCUGCCUGCCUCAAGUCGUUCGGAAGUCAUUCAUUUCGUUUACAGUCUGACCAAUACAUGUUGUUCAUUUGCUGUGAGCAAAUCACAAGACUCCGCACACUCGCUCACUGGCUGCCUGUGUGUCGUUCGCCAAAGAGUCAAAGGCAGCAGUUCCACUCCUGACCGGCACACCACGCUUGCAGCUGAGCUCAACCGAACUGAGAAAGAAACGAAUCAGAUCUUGGAGUGAUUCCAUUCACGCCAUUCACUCAGCAGUUUCGUACUUUUGAACGAAUCGUUCAUAAACGACACAACACUGAAUUUCAGGACUUUGAUCUUACUUAAACUCAAGCGACUCCAUUCUGACUUAGAAGAUGAAGAAAUUGACUUAGACUUGUUUGAUACAGACUUAUUAAUUAUUUUUUUUAUUGAAAAAAAAAAACUGCUAUCAGCUCUGCUCACCUACAGUAUACACACACUUAAAUGUCACCUUAUUCACCUACAUUUCCUGAUGCUUGAGGAGGCACCACAGGGGGUUGUUUUUAGUUUAUUAGAUGCCUGCAGUGAUCCGGUGCUGUAAAGUGAUGAGUAUGUUUCCCAGUAAGAGAACCAUAGUGAGCGUUUUACAUGACUCACAGCACUUAAUUGAUGAUAUUAACAUCAUGCCGACAGGAUCAGAUGGAAUCUAACGUUAAUAAAGAAAAGUGUUUUCCAAAAAAAGGUCCCAGACACUCAAACAGCAACCCUCCAAUAAUAUCAAAGAACACUAAAGGACAUCUACUUUCACCUUGCAUCAUGUCUGUCUUUGUCAGUAUGGAUUUAAAAGAUGUAAACCCUCUGCCUGAAACAACAUGUGGGUGUUACUUUUUGCACAGCUUUGUAAUCAUGAAACAACCCAAAAACUCUAUUUAGCUGCAUUUGCAUAUGUCAGCUAUGUAACAUCAGUUUUAAUGUUUCUUACAGCUCGUGGUUCUGAGUCUUCAUGACGGUUUUUACUCAUGGGACAGCCCCAGGUUGCAGUGACAUCUGUUAACAAUGCAGUAAUUGGUGAAGUACAAUAGCUUUGAUAUGGCUGAAGGAAUAAAAAUCUCUCAUUGUUGUCGGCAUCUGCAAACACAGACAAAUGCUCAUUUGUGAGGACAAACAUUGAACAUCUCCAAGGUUUGAGCCCGUUUCCAAAUAUGUGUAUGUGUAUGUAUGUGUACGUUAUUAGCAGUGAUAUAUAGCGCUUGCUUUGUCAGCACAGAACUGAGGAAAGUAAUGUAGAUUCUGCUUCAAAUCGAGGAUUUUUGUCUGUGCAAGGAAAGGAUCAUUUCUUGUGUCUGUGUGUGAAAAAAAGAGAAUCAACAGCAGUUUUAUAAGGACUCCACUGUUUACACCUUCUGUGUUUCCCACACUCAUUUAAGUUGCGUAGCUGCUUAGAUAUUUUUGUGUAUUAUGUUAACUGGUUGUGUUUGUGUGUAACUCAUUGUCUGGCUGUGUGUGCAUGUGGGAAAGAAGGUGAUUUAAGCAGCAUUACUCUGCUCCUGAGCUGCCAAGUACCUGUCGCCUCAGCUUCGCCUUCCUUCUCAGUCUCCUCUUCCUCAAUGUGGUCAGCACCUGCAGAUACAAUGCAGACAAACACUCACACACAAAUGUGAACACAACAUAAGGAUGCAGAGGAAACAAGCUCCCAUUCGCUUUCAACACCAGAUAUGAUGAGACGACAUUUAAGAAGUCUUUCUUUUUCGUCUAAACACUCUCCAGAAAGGUAAUCACUACCUUAAAAUCCACUUUCUUCAUCCAUUUGUUAAAUUAAUCUGAAACUGCUCCUAAUAAAUACUGAUCAUUUUUCCUUUUUUUCAGUUUUGUAUUAUUUGGGGUAAAAUUUGUGUCACAGAAUUUGCUGGGGAUCAGAAUGUGAAUGUGUGUAGACGGCAAGUAAAUACAAGUGUACUUUUCUAAAUAGUAAAUGUGUAUUAUGCCCACAUUCAGGAGCAGCAGCAUUACAAGCUAAUAUGCCUCAAGAAUACAUAAGAAAUUAAACAGGUUAUGGUACAAGAAAAAAGUUAUAGUAAGUAAAAAUAAUAUGAGAAUAAAGCCAUCAAUGUAACUGGAAUAUCGUCCCAGAAAUAAAUUAAAUAUUAGGAGAAUAUCAUCACAUGUAAAAAGAACAAAGUGGUGAAUUUAUAAUAUUACGUGGACAAAAUCAUAUUAUGGCAGUUAGGUGUUUGUGUUUUUAGAGAAGUGAAGUCAACUGCCUCGAGCCUCUUGUUGAAUCAAUUACUUUUAGAUGAAAAAACUGUCUCUUCAACAGGCACCUGGACACGAACAGCAGCACUGACAUCCUUGCUAAUCGCUGACAGGGAUAAUUCUCCGUCUGUAACAUGACUGCAUUUCUUCAGCAGAGCCACUUUAUUCUCCAAAUCUUUUUUCAUUCUUUUUUUUUUUUAACCAGUUCCUCUCAUGUCCCCAUUUUUCUUUACAGAAACCACAUUGGUGAUCAGAAAUCCUUGGUCUUUAAGAGCUGUGGAAUUGUUCAUUUUGUCAUUAUGUCUUGAACUCAAAACUUCCUGCAGUUCUUACACACCUGCUCAUUCAGCUCUACGGCACUCACUGUUUUAUUGGUGCUAAUAGUAGUGACCACCGCUACAGCGCAUUCCUUUAAUCUAUCUCUAUAAGAUGACGACUUUUCAGGUGACUUAAAAAUAUUUGGUUUAUAUAAUUAAGAACGUUUUUCCUUUUUCCCUCAUGGGUGCCAAAGCCAAGCAGUGUGACCAGUCAAAAAAACCAUUGUGCGUGAAAUGGAAAAAAUAUAUAUCAGAUUAGCUCUCACUGACCAGGAGGAUAGAAAAGAGGAGAGUAUGUUUUCAAUUUGGUAAAACGCUUCUAGCCCAAAGGUGUAGUCAAAUGGUUACAGGUUCACCGAAUGAAAGAGAAAGAUUUUUGAUCAGUGCAGAGAAGUAGCUUUGAAGCUUUUCUGAACGGGACCCCAGCUUAAGAAGUGCCAAAGUCUAACCUGCCCCACUGCAUCCAUUAAAAAAGAGCAACAUUAUUAGUUUUCUAAAGUACAUCAAUCAAUCAAUCAAUCAAUCAAAUCAAACUUUACAUAUUAAGCGCUUUCUCUACAAGGAAUGUAACUCAAAGUGCACACACACACACACACGCACACCUGAACCCACACACACACACACAAUAAUAUAAUGGACAUGAGGCUGGUACAGAUGAACCGGUUGAGAAAGCGCCAUCAGAGAAGCCGUCAGCACCAGGAGCAGAGAGCCGCCUGCAGCCUAAAUCUAAACCAAUAUCAUGUAUGAAGAUAUGAGACUGCAGCUGUUGAUGACUUAGCAGUAAAAUUAUAAUAACACCCUCGCCCUCGCCGAUUUCGUCUUUUUUCUUCUUGUGGGUUUUUGUGUAUUUCUAUGCAGCUUGUUAAAAUAGCUAGUUAAACUUAAGGGCGCCCAUUUUAGUGUUCUCCUGUCAAAUAUUCCAUGAAUGCAGACCUGAGCCGUAGCGAACUCGGACCUCCUCGCAGCUGGAUCCCCUCACCAGGAUAACGCACAAUUAAACACACAAACGCAGACUGCACACACCCACACAGAGUCAGCUGUGGACCAAAACUGACCGUCUCUCUCCCACUCUUAGCCUCUUUAUAAACACUGUUACUCCAACGUUAAACCGCGCAGAGCUGGCAUGCUACAAUAAACGCAAUAAAACAACAUGAACGCUCAAAUAAAUAUCGCCACAGGGUGGCCUGAAAAUAUUUUGAGAGGCUGGUUCUUUACUGACAACAAAAGAAGGAAGGUGUGAGAGUGUCUGUCAUGUAUCCUCACAUUGUUGUGUUGUUUUGAGUAUUUUACAUACAGUGCAGAUAAACCAGGUGUAACUCUGUUGUUUUGUUACUUGAUCAUUAGAUUUGUUUUUUUCACUGUCUACCCCUCAUUUUACACAGUUGUGUCGAGUAUUGAUUCUGCUUCAUCCUUACUUAGAAAAUAUUUAAUACUAAAGGUCUGUUAUUUCUCUACGGCAGGCUGUUGCUAUGAGGAAAACAUUGUUGCUAGGGAAAUGGCCUCAAUCACAGACCCGAGGAAAGUAAUUUAAAUCUUAAAAAUGCUCAGCGAGAAGGUGCAAGAAAUAUUUAAUAAGAUGCCAGAAUGUGAACUGUGGCGUAAAAAGAAAUGAGAUGAAAAGGUUGAAGACACAAAAACUGUGAGAAACCGUCAAAAACUGAAGACAAGGAAUGAAGUGACAGAGCACACAGCGGGCUAUGAUGGUAUUAUGAAGCCAAGUGCCACAGACUCAGACAGUGACGAGGCAGAAAAAUUCAAUCAGGUCUGAGUUGAAUCAUGUGGUCUUGUACUCCUUGUUUAACUUGAUCAUCAGUGGAAAUGUUGAGUUCAAUGUGAGUAACACUAACCUCAGGCUAAUAUGGAUGGUGCUCCCUCAUUGGAAGGAGUGAAACCAAAAUACUGCCCAACUGGUGCUGAAAAUAUGAAAUUUCUAGGGAUCCAAAAGGUCCUACCGACCAGGACAAUGAAUGGUCUGGAGUAAAACAGGACUCCACCCUCAGACAGAUAUUCAUAAUGAUGAUGCCAAUCUGGGCUUCGGCACAGGGACUUAACUGGGACCCUCUAGACUUGACUCAGGCUCUUACACUUAAGCUACUUUCUUGAAUUGUGUGUUGGUAGAGGACACGUAUCACACAGUCACGGUUUCAAACUCAGACAGCUGACGUACGUGAUACGCACCAUAACCUGCUGAGUCACCGGGGACACUCCUCAUCAUGGUUGCUUUUGAAGGUGGAUUAUUAUACAUAUAAUUUUCACGUCUACUGUAUGUUCAGUCUUCUCAAACCAUCUGGAGUGUGGGCAGAGGUGUCACAGUCCUGCAUGAAACCACAAUUUAUUUCAGACUUUUCCUUGUUUAAGCAGAGCACUGAAGUGUGCAGACAGAUCAAACAGCCGUGUCCAAUAUCCUGAGGUUUCUAUAUACAGGUCAGAGUCAGGAAUAGACUGCCUCCUAUACACACGUAACUUUGAUGCUGCUCAACUACAGGCCAUCUAUAAUUAGAGUUAUUUCCAUUAGGCUCCCCAAAAGACACAACCCUGAACCCCUUAAACACCAACAAAAAUGUAAACUAUGGGAGUCUUUUUUUGAUUCUCUGUGUGGACAACAGGGUUCACACUGAAGUAUUAUUUCUAUGCUUAAUCUAUUUGUUUAAGGUCUCUUUUAAAAGGCUUCUGCCAAGGCCUGUUCAAUUAGCAGCUUAUAGCCAGAUUCUGCAGUGACCCCACAAAGGCUGACUUAAAGGUGUGCGUGACAUACUCAAAAUGUUACUUAAGUUGGCAAAUUAAGCGACACUUAACAAAAAGACCUGGUCCAGACCAACUUGUGGCCUUACGUACAUUUUGCUACUUAUACAGUGCACAGUCUGAGCACUGAGAGGUCUGACUGAGUGCCUACAUUAGUUUAAAGAUGUGUUUUGAGUGUGUGUCUGCUGUCAUUCCCUUUAACAGUGUAGGCAGGGGUAUUUCUAUUAACACAGCAGGUUUCAGCCUUUUAACUACAACAGCCUGGGUGCUAGCAGGCGCUUUUUCUUCACCUGAUACUCUCUGAAGGCUCGUUUAUGCUCGCCAUACGUAUGAAAAUGUGUAUGCGUCCAUUUCAAACGAUGGCUCCGCCUCUGCCCACAUACUCCCAUGUGUCCCUUAUGUUGGCAUGGAUGUUAACAUCCAAGCCACUACAUCCACCAGGGAACGGCGACUAAAGAGGAGCUAGUGAUAAUGUAUAUUUUGCAUCAGAGACAGAAAUGGAGGCAGCGCUGGAGGAGGCGGUGGUCAGUCAGGCCACUAAAUGCCUCGCGGUUGGAGGAUGGAGAAUUCCUUUCACUAGUAGUAACGAUGAGAGAAAUUGACGUUGAUCCUCAAAAAGCUCCACUACUGUCUUCUUUGUUUCUCUCUAGUCAGGGUCAAACACACUGUAACACCGAGUUGAAAAAGGAAUGUAGCUGACUGCUUGCUUCUCUAGUUAUACCAACUUUAGUAACGACCGCACGAUAGCAAUACACGGCGGUAUACGUCUCCACGUGCCAACCUCAACCAAAAAAGCCACAAAUAAAAACAAAAAUGUGUUAAGUCUCUUUCACAAAGAGACUUAACACAGCUCACCUACUCUCUUUCAGCAGCCACUUGUUUGUAGCGAGACCUCGAGCCAGUCCAUUACGGACUGCUGCGGGGGAAUGCAGCUCAAGGAAGAACAUUUUAGAUCAUUUCUUCAUUUCUCCAAAUGUGGGUACAUUAACCAAAGCUAAAGACAGAAGUGAAGUGAUGUAGUUUUGAUUAUAAAAUAGUUAUUUUAGAGCAUUGUGCAUGAGUUCAAGCCAAAAUGCAGAACCUUUGACUGCUUACAGAUUAAAACAACUUCAUCAACUCGGGCUAAACUUUUGCUGUUUUAUUCCAAAGACAAACUUGCUUUGAUAUUGAUUGAAUAAGCAUUAAUUUUAAUAUCAAUUACCACAGAAAAUGAACUUUUCCAUACAAUGUAAGGGUGAGAGGUCAGUCUGGUGUGAUGGUCAGGUGGGUUUGAUAGGUCACAUUCACACAACCCAUCAAGAUGGUUGUGUUCAACUGUAUUUCAAAUCCAAAGUGCUUACCACUUCAGAGUUGUGUUUUUAAGGUCACUGAUGUGCUGACACCUAUCAACACCAAGUACAGUGCCUAUGUGUAACUUUGUGAAUAUAGUGCAUAAGCCUGACUAAAUGGUCACUACUUCACUGCAGUUAAUAUGUUUCUUUUUAUUGCAGACAUGUGGAUUCAAAGAGUUUAUUGCGUUUAAUCAUCUGCAAUCUGCCUUCAUUUGAAUUGCAAACUAGCUGUGUAAUUCUGCUGGGAACAUCCAAACCCUGCAGAUGAGUGCAGGUUUACAAAUGAGGUGACAUUUUAUUCUCUGUCCCACUGAAAUAAUUAACUGCAUAUUGCUGAGUAAAAACACAUGGCUCAGCGCAGUUGGUAAAGAAGGAAAAAUACAGCGGCUGGUGGUACAAAAAAUUUUCUGUGCCUAAUUUUAAAUCAACCAUCUAUAAUCUUAAGAUAUCAACAUAAAACUUGGAGAAAAUUCGCCUUCUAACACCCUCAUGUGACACUCAAUGAAUUCGUUCUUGGUUCUGGGAAGAGUUUCGUUUGAGUCUCAAAGGAGGUGGAAGUUGAUUCAACAUAAACACUCCAAAACAAAUUCAGAAAAAAAAGAGGAGCCUCCAGAUUGCAUCUUUCGUAUUUUCCGAUCUCUCUUCUCUCCAGUUGCGUAACAUGAGAUGCUGAUUAAAAAAAAUGAAAAACAGAGUUCUGGUUAAAUCCAGCCACAUGCACUCCUCGUUAGCAGACCUUUAACCUCAUUAGAGGAUUCCAUCUCUGGUUUGUGUAAACUCAACCACAGCUCUUUUGUCUCUCUCAGCUCAAAUGUGACCAUUUCCUGAUAGAAUAAUUUCAUAAUAAUGUUUCCCAGCUCUUUAUUUUCGACUUUAUUAAGACACAUAUUCAUGGUCCUUAAGCUACAAAAUACCAUGGAACAAAAAGUUGUAUAACAUCAAAAGCCUUCUGGGUGUCAGCAUGGAAAGAUUUGUCUGAGUUUCUACGGUCGGCAGAAGCCACUAAUGUGGACCAGAGCAAAUAUGAAGUUGUUGAAGUCAUUAACUGUGUGUGGGAUGACAGCAGAAUUACAGUGAUUUUCAGAAAACAUAGGAUGAUAAAAAGAAAACAAAAUAGAGUAAAAAGACAUCAGAAAUGAAUUUCCCGAGUGAAAAGCUUCAGUUUUGGAAAAUAAAGCCAAUGUGAAAAAAAAAGUUGUUUCUUUAGUUUCCAUCUGAGACUGUCUUUCUUUGUCUUUAAAUCCACAAAAGCGAAUGUUAAAGCACUUUAUGAGGAGGAUCAGCAGGUAGGAUUUUGGGGGACAUCAAAUUUGGUACAUAUUUAUCAGUCAAGUGGAGAAAUGACAUUUGGGUAUAUGAGAUAUGCCAUCUUAAAACUUCGUAAAAUUCAGCCCCAGCAGCAUAUUUCACUGAGAAUUUGGGGAUCUGGUUUGCUCAAACAAGUCUCUUGAACCCACAAAGUAAAACCUGCCAUUUUCAACUUGUGGUAAAAAAAAAAAAAAAGGCUAAUUCCUGCUAUUUUCUAAGGGUCCAGGAAUUACCUCUUCCAAGAAGAUACUCUGAUCUGCUCUGAAUUUUCAGAAGCAGAAAAAGACAUAAAAAUGUUUUUGUGCUAACACCAAAGAUCAUAUCAGAAAAAAACAUUUUUUUUAGUUUACUUUGCAAUUGGACUUGUUUUCAUGGGGCCUACUGAGAUCAACUCAUUUUUCAAGCCAGCGUUUGGGACAAUGUGGAAAGUUCCAGUUUUGGCUCCAAGUAAAUUCACCAAACAGUAUUGGAGAAUGCCACUUGACCUAAAGUCAAUUCAAAAGAGUCCUAUUAUGCUGAUUAGUAUUUGUAUACAUUGGACGCCGUCUGCACAGCUCAUUCAGAAUUCUGCAGUUGACUUUGCACGGUUGGCAGAAAUCGUUUAUAUCCGACGUCUUCUGCGGAAGGAACAGCAAGUGACUCAUGCAACAGGAUGGCCCAGCCAGGCUAACAGCCUAUGGGCGUACAGAGAUUGCGUAGUUCACCCGGGUGAUACGCUGCUUGAGCCGAGCGUCAUCACAGCAACUCACAGCGAUUCUCCUGCAGAAUGCUUGCAAUGCCACUGUGCAAUGUUGGUUUCAGGAAAUGGAGCAAAAACACAGAAUUACCGAGAGCUUUUCGGUUUAAAAUUUGUAUACAGAUGGAAAGUGGAACCAAGUUGUCCAUAGUAAAUACAGUCUAUGAGACUGAAACAUAAAAAUGAGUACAGUGGGUCUCAAUAAACACUCAAACAGGUUAAAAAAGAAUGUGUGGCAUAUAAACUACCAAAACUCUUUAGAACAUUGCAACACUGUUUAUGUAUUGUCUUUUCAUGCAUGUUUAAUUAAAAUAUGCAUCAUUCAAUAAGGCAGUGUCAUAAAUUGAUAUGCAAAUAAACUUUGGUGCAUGUUAUCUUUUUUUGUAAAUGUCCGAACUGUCCCUGAUUGUCUCAGGGCAUUAAAAUGUCUGCAUCAAUUCAGGGCUCACCUUUGUCCUCCUACAUGUGCAAUGCAACCAAUUAAAGCUUAAUAAGUGAGAGAAGUUUAUUUGUCAGAUAUUUCCGGCUCAAUGACCAUAAUAAAUGUUAUAAUUUUUGCACGAGCAUUAUAAAAAAUGAAAAACUUGCAGCUGGUAUCUCAUUAAUACUAUUUUAACAGUCCCCGAAUCUCUUUCACCUCUCUAAUAUGACACUGGGGAUCACACUUAGUGCCAGCACAGGGAGCUAUAUUAAACACAAGACCACUGUGGCAUACACACCAUAACUUCCUGCAUUUCAGUGGGGACAAGGAGCAACAAAAAGAAACAAAAUCACUUCCUCAGGGAAAGUUUGCAGCUGUAUCGACUGUCAGAUGAACUCCACUGCCUCUCGUUUUGGGACUUCAACAGAAAACAGGCAUGUUUUGUUAAAUUUUAUUGCAUGUGCCCUCACAUGAAACCCGAGCUCGCUGAAUAAAUACAGGGUAAUGCCAUUUUCAACAAUGCCCUCCCGUUACCCACUGAAAAACCGCUCAACGUCCAUGUACACAAUUAUGUCACUUCCUGCAUAAAUGUGAAUGCCUACCCCUGAAGCUUACAGUUCAGCUGACUCAACGAAAUAUUGAUGAACAUCCUCAUCUUCUUGGCCAUCAGGGGCUGAGCCUUUUUUAAAAGAGGAGAAAGUGUCAUGAAGGAGCUAAAGGCUGAAAGUUCAACCAAAGGAGACUGUAAAGGAAACAACUGAGAGGGUCUACAUCAACAUCCAGACUCCAUUUGUAGCUGGGACUGUAUAAACCGCAUGCAUUUAUGUGUAGAGCAGAACAAAUCGAGCUACAAUAACUCAGGUCUGAGUGAAUGAUGGGUCGACUGAAUGAACCCUGGCUUAAGGAAACACCGAGAAAGAUGGUGAAUUGUGGGAAAGCUUUUUUAAACUGAAGGAAAAAAAAAUCUCUUUCCUGUUCGUUAUGAAUGACUUUGUGUGAGUAUAAAUCCACCGACCGGUCUCAAGGAAACCAAGAAAAACUUGUGGGUUAUUUGCAGCAAGAUUACAUGAUUUAUGGCCUUCAGUGUUUCUAAAAACACAAAGAGGAAAGCGAAUAAAUUACCUGAGUAAACACGACCUAUGGCAUGAACACCUGAACACAGGUAUAACAAAAUUCAGGCAGACAUACAUACACACACAGCUGCUGUAGUGAUAUUAUUCAUUAAAAUGUCCCUCUCAAGGCCACUUCUCAGAUUUCUGACCGUAGAAACUUCCAUGCUUGUUACAGGAAAACAGCCUCACACAUUGUAUCAGUUCCUUUUAGGGAUUUAGGGAUUGAUCAGUUCCUUUUAGGGAUUUACCUUCACUAAGUCUGAUUUCACUUUACAUGUAUUGCUGCUACACCACACUCUGUUUUAUUAGUUCUUAUCUGUUUUAUUUAUUUUUAGUUCUCUUUUAGACUACAGGAUUGGACAGUUUUUAAGGGAUGAAUGAAUGCACUGUAUUGUAAUCUUUUAACCCCCUGCACUUAAUGUGAUGUAAUGGAACAAAUGUAAUUUUGUGCCUGGCAAACCCAGGUGUAACACGACUACGUGAGGGCGGAGUCGCACGAAGUUAAUUUUGACAUUUUUUUCGAGUUUGAUCGAGUAUAUUUCACGCGCUUUGAACUCAUUAAGUCCACAUGACACAAACUCGAAACUUACGUACAAAACUGUGGACAUUUGAAGGAUUUCCCCAGACAAAGCCAGACAAACCUGGACAGCCCCCAAAAAAGAGGAUAUGUCCAGGUAAAAGAGGAUAUAUGGUCACCCCAGUUUUAGGCAUACAAAGCUUUUUUGUAAACGAAACGAGAUCAUGCAUCGCUCUCCUUAGAACCUCCAGACCUUAUUGAUUGCUGGUUAUUAGGGGUGGGAAUCACUGGUGGCCCUACGAUACGAUAUUAUCACAAUAUGAUAUUAUUGUGAUUUUUAACAUUUUGAAUUCAGUGAGUAUAGGGAUAAAAUAUAUUGGGAUUUAUACCAUUUACACAACUGUUUAGCUAAUUUAGUAUUUGUUUUUCCUUUAUGUUUGUCUUAUUUACACUGUAUUUUAUUUUCAUGUAGCACAUCUUACUAACCUUUAACAUAUUUCUGUUAUAUUAACUUUCUCCAAACUCACUGGAAAAACUGUUGAUUUUAUUUUUCAAUUAUCACAAAUUUGACUUCAUAUUGGCAAUUAAUUUGAAAAAAUCAAUACUUGGUAAAUGAGACGAUAUGAUAUAUAAUCAGACAAAAUAUCGCGAUACUAUGCUGUAUCAGAUUUUCCUCCCAACUCUACUGGUUAUAUUACUUCAUCUGGCUGACAAUUUCAAUUUUAGAGAUUGGAAAAAUACAGUACAUCUGUUUUAAAGAUGUUUUAAACCAUCAACAUAGAUUGUUUACUUCAGUGUUUACUGUUGUAAUUCAUUAUUUUUGAUGGCUUUCUGCAUAAAAACAACCUUGAGUCUCAAAAAGACUUUUCCGAACAGGCUUUUGUCAGUUUUGUCUAAAUAUCAGUCGUCUAACGGUCAGUAUAGUAGAUGGUCUUCAGUUGUGUUAUGCACAAGUUUUAGAUUCAAUCUUAUCAUUUCAAACACUCAAGAGAAAUUAAUGAUUAAAACCCUUUUCACCUCACAUGUAGUGAAACAGCUCUUACAAUGAGGGGCAGAAAUCUGCACAGCAACCUUCAGCCCACCUACCUCCGUGUGUAACUCUUAAAGUGCAGGCUAAGUGUGUUUUUAUCUGUUCAUCUGAACUUUGGCUGCAGCUGCUGCUCCUCAGAGAUUUCUUCCAACAAAGCCGGCUUUAUCCCAUCCUGUCAACAAUGUUAGCCCCACUUCUAUAACAUAGUGUUGUAUUGUUGAACUCAGACCUUCAACAUCACGGUUGGUUGUUCAGGAAUUUAAAGAAAAGUUCAAAAAGGUCCAUUUCAAAAUCAAAUAUGUGGGGUCAGCACAAUGGUGCAGCCGCUGCUUGCAUAACUUGAGUUUCUAAUAUUUGGAGAAACAAACUAAUUUGCUGAUUAUUGCAUUACAAUUUUCCAAAACUUCUCCAUGUCAGUCCCAGGUGUUUCACAGCGUUCAGCUACACCCACCUUGUCCUUUUCUAUCCAAAUAUUCACUCCUCUGCUGUGUGCAUACAUACUGUGUGCACAAAGUGGACUGCUGCUGGGACAUCACCCAUAGGUUCCUGACCAGUGUUUUGACACCUCUGAUUUUGCCUUUUAUAUGCUGCAAGUUUGGCUUUUUCUCUUUGGGGUUAAGUAGACUAAGAAAUAGGGACUGAGCUCAUAAAACCACAGUGAAUAUUUCUGGUAAUGUGGUGCAUUUAAUGGGAAGUGGUGGCAUUUCCCAGCUGCCUUACAUACAAUCAAAAUUACUUUGAAUUUAUUUUUACCAUUAAUUGAUUGGUAUUUAUUAUAAGUGCAAGGAUGCAAACUACGGGUUUGAGUAAAAAAAAAAAAGAGGAAAAUAAGUGUAUAUAAUGGUCCAGGUGCAAGAUAAAGCCACACUAAUGUGAAAUGUGUUGACAAUGAACUCCAGCCUUCCCAAAUAAGGAUGUAAAUGAUUGAUUGAUUGAUUGAUUGAUUGAUUGAUUGAUUGAUUGAUUGAUUGAUUGAAGUUUAUUUUGAACAUAUAAAAAAGACAUAACAACAAAAAAGUAAAGAAUACAACAAUAAAUGACAAAAAGUUAUUUGAGUUCAAAAAAGAGUGGGAAGAAGCCGAGACUUAUGACCUAGUUUCAUUUAAAAGCUAGUUCUGCAUUCUUUAAAACCUGACAAUAACAUUUGAGUUUAUCAAGUCUGCAUUAUCUCAUGUGGGUUAGUUAAUCAACCAACCAACCGCAAACACAAUGUUUGCAGAACUUCUAAAACUAGCAUAAAGUAACAUACUCCAGGACCUGAGGUAAACAGUUUCGCGGCGCUACAACACAGCAGGUCUCAUUUGACAAGAAACACUUCUGUUACAGACACUAGGCUUAAUUUGUUACAGCAGAAAGAUUACAGGGUCUGUAAGAUCCCGAAGCGUCUCCCAUCAUUUGACUAAUGUUGACCCGGCUUCUUAGCUCUUAUCCGGUCUACCUCCGUUUUCAGCGCCCAUUAUUCCGCCAGAGUCUCCGGUAUUUAGUUUGUUUUCUUGCUGGUGUUGGCAGUCGUGGUCAAAGUAGGAUUCAGACAAUUUUCCGUACUUUCUAGUUGGUUUCUACUGUCCGAUAUUGUAUCAUGCUAACUUUGUUUGGGCUCGUGAACGUUAUUCAACGACAUGGAGCGUGCCUCACAACAUGGGAAGCAGCAUUUGCCUCACAACCAAUAAGCACUAAGAAGCAGCGUUGGGGGAGGUGGAGAACGGCUUUCUUUACAGUCAGAAAGAGCGGGGCACUCAAAAAAUUUAAAAUGUUGACUACACAGACAUAACAAAACACAGCGAUAUCAUUAUAUUAUCAAAUGUCAUCAAUAACUAAUAGCUAUUGACUGAUAUUAAAAGCUUUUUUGUAUAUACACCAUAAAAGAAGAUGCUUCUUUAACGGAUUUCUGCCUACCCCACCUUCAACAAAAGAAGCAGUAAGAAGCUGCUAUUUCGGUGCUGCUAUUGGGCCAAGUGCUGAACAACAAGGUCCAGGUUUUAAACUUAUUUCAGGGUAUUGUUCUCAGACUGUGGGCUCAAAUGUUCACACAGUUGCACUAAUUGUGGUUUAUUUACAAGUUUUAUAGCUUUCAGGUGGGCUGGAGUUUCAGCAGGACUAAUUUGUUAUACCUGCAGUGGUUCUUCUUCUGUCUAGCCCCUGCUCUGAUAGGUUCCAGCACUCAUGACCCUGAAAGCAAUUGAGCACGUAAAGGCAAUUUUAUCCACUGAAGUCAGGCUUUAAGAGUAUUUGCUGUUUUAACGGUGAGUCACAUUUUGCUUUGCUUCAGUGCCAGCAAUUUGUUUUCACCAGUGGAUGGAUCCGUUUGGAAUCAAUCGAAGGACUUUCCAAUAACAAUUGGUUUAAAACGGCUCUUGAGUUUUACGCUAAAUUUAUCCACACUGGGCUGUGGUGAACUAACGUCUGAGACUGGAUCAACAACAUCAAGGAGCCAAGAAAUAAGGAAUGAUAAUAAUGGGGCAUUUUACCUGAUUGUUGCUAAGCUGCCCUGCCAAACAUAUACCAUCAUCAUCAGCCACCCUGCCAAACACAUGCACACACACAGACACACACACACACACACUGAUACACAUUCCUGCAGACAGACGUUCAGCUUUUGGAUUGCAGUAUAAUUCCCAGGUGACGCCUAUGAUGCCUUACACCUGCUAGUGAAUGCAGUCGGUUCUACUUCCUCCGAUAAAUACUCAGCAGCCACCCUCUGCCCUUUCCCAUGGAUCAGAGGAGCCAAGAUGACCCUGAAAUGAUCCUAACAAACCUCAGGUCUACGUUCAGGUUUCUUCAUCUGCAAGCUGAUGACAUCCAGUUACAAAACAACAACUUGAAACUAAGCAAUCAAAAUAAAAACAUCAUUAAAAUAAAUUUUACUCGGAUAACUUGAUAAAUAACCCCUAGAAAAAAACUAAGGUAAAAGCAAGUAUCAAAUCAAAUAAAAAGAGCUGUUAAAAAAUUCUUCAACAAGUGUUUAAAUAUCGGAAGAAAUGGUUCUUUAGCUGCUAAUGGUUAGCACUGUGGCCUCACAACCAGAAGGUCAUGGGUUCCAAUCCCAGGCAGGGCAUUUCUUGUUUAAGGGGGGACAUGAGCUGCUUGGCGGAGGUCUGUGCUCUCCAAGUGCUUUUCUAGUUUGUUUGUUUGUUUGUUUGUCUGUUAGCAACUUUACGGAGAAAGUAACAGACGGAUUGACCUGAAAUUCACCAGAGGUGCGUCUCAGCCCCAGGAGGAUCCCAUUACAUUUUGGUGGUGAUCCGGACAAAAUUCUGGAUACUGUGAUCCAGAACACACAAAAAUAAGGGUGUCGUUGGAAUUUUCAAUGCUGAAAGAUAACCAAUGGGCGGCACAGGGGUAUAAAUAGGCAGCACAGUGGUGUAGUGGUCAGCACUGUCGCCUCACAGCAAGAAGGUCCUGGGUUCGAAUCCAGGUCAGGGCAUUUCUUGUUUUAGGAACAUUUUGAAUGGUGAACACACCAGUUUAAACACAAAUAAACGUUAAUAAAAGACACGCAACAGUUAAAGUUUUGGUGUGAAUCACAAUAUAAGGGGGGACAUGAGCUGCUUGGUGAAGGUCUGCGCUCUCCGAGUGCUUUUCUAGUUCACAUUGGGCAGAGAUUUCCCUGGAUAGAGAUUGGACUUAAACGCGACCGAGUCUCAUUGGCAAGUUAUCUCCAGCAUGAACAGGCCAACCACUGUUCACGUGGUCUUAGUAAAAUGUGUUAUGAAAUAUGUGUGUGUUGUUGACCUUGAGGCAUGCGUCUACUGUAGCAAAACAGAGAGAGCCUUGUGGAUCAUCAGGUUCCUCCUUAUCAAGCGAGAUGUCACACUGUUCUGAUUAAAUGAAAACAACCUGUGAGUAAAUGAAAACACUUAUUAAAUUGCAUCAGUUCAGUGAAAAAGGACAGCAAAGUAAAACACAAUUAUUUUUUUUACACCAUGUUUUGCUCAGUGAUAGUAGUGGGAAAAAAGCUUUUCUUGCACUAUUUUGUUUUUCACUUUGAACCUAAAAACCUUUGUCCAGAGGGAAGAGCAGCGAAUUUGAAGGGUGGGAGUCAUCUUUGAAAAUACAGGGACUAUCAGCUGGACCUGAAUGGUGUAAAUAGAUUUGGGGCAUGGCAGUGACUCACAAAUCAGGGAGAGAACUUUUUAUUACUAUGGCUCAAGUCUGAGGAACAACUUGAAGACCUGAUGACUGCUCAGUGUAUCAGUUCUUUCUAAAGCAAACUCAAGAGCCUCAAUUUUACUUUUUCUUAUCUUAAAUCAAACACAAGGACACCAAAACUAUGGGCUCAAUAUGAAAAGUUCAAACAUGACACAACAAAGGUGAGACAACAGUGCUGUUUUGGACGAGGUGUGUGAUUUGUUCAGAUACAAAGCUGUGGCAAAGAAUUUAGGGAAGGAUGAAAAGACAACACAAGAUGUUGAGGGAUAAGAUGUAAGAGGACACAACAUGCCUACUUAUAGAUACAAAGACACAUACAAAGGGGAAUCGAGAAAUAAAAAUACUGACUUCAAAAAGACACUAUUACAAAGACAAACAAAAUAAUAAAGAUGCAAAACAACUCCAGUGAAAAGCAAAAUGAAUCAGCAGAAAUGUACAAUCUUGAACAGAAGCAAUUUAACUGCAAAAAGGUGAAAAAUGACUUAAUUAUUAUUAAAACAGAUGAUUUGAAAAAAUGAGUUUUAAUGAGAAGCAAAAGAAGAAAUCUUCGGACCUUUUAUGUUGCAGGAUAGGUUAUAAACAUCUCAUAAUAAAGAGGUAAUGACAGAUAAAAUGCCACCCGUCAUGUUUAAAAAAGAAGUGUUGAACUCAGCUGUGCAGUCAGCGAACGUGAACAUCCUCACGUAGCACACUCUGCCGUAAGGUUUGAACCUGUGCUGUUUUGGCAUCGGGGCCGACCCUCUAACCUGCAGCCAGGUUACAUAAAAGCCAGACCCACAUAUAACCACCGUCUUUGUUAGGAGGUGAUGGAGCCACAAGAGCCCCCAGCACCCGGAGGUGUUUACUGGAGGCAGCAGCUAUGGGAGGGAUGCCCAAAGAAAGAGGCUCAUUCACCUGAGGCUGUGAGGGGGAGACAGAGGGGGAGGGUGCUGCUUAAAGGGGGUAUGACAGAGGGAAAGGUGAGAUAGAGAGAUAAGAUGGAGGAGAAAGUCAGGAUGAGAAAGUGAGAGACAAAGAGAGUAAAUAGAGCUCUAAAGAGAUAAAAAGAUAGAAAGGUAGGGGAAGUUUUCAGUUUGCUUUUUCAUGGAGUUGCCUAGGGGUUUCAAAUUGUUUUUUAAGCACUUCUUUAGUGGAUAUUUCAGUGGGAGUAUAAGCCACAAAAGAUGAUGGGCAGUUCUGCCCUUUGAAUAAGAAACUGCUGAGAGAACCUGCAUGCAAGCUAGGUGGCAGUUUUCUGCAGAAGGGGCCGACUCUGCUGUGUAAAACUUUGAGAGACUCUGACCCAAGCACUCAACUCCGAUAAAGUCUACGCUGCAAUCAGGAUUUUACAGCAUUUUACUUUGUCAUAAGAAAACAUUGUUUUUUUGCACUGUUUGCCGACACAACACACAAAGUGGGUUGUUGUUUGGUCCGUGGGCUUCCAAGAGACAAAAUACAACCAAACUCAAUAUCUGACAGUGCCAGUGACAUGCUGAAUGCUCAUGUUUACAUUCAUGGACUGCAAAUGGAGAUGAUCAGUCAGAAAAAAUGGAUACUACUACAGGGGUAGGAGUUGUGCAAAAUUUUGAGGGUUUUUCGGCAAAUUAAUGAAAACACGUUCCAGGUUUGUCAUCUUUUUUUUUUAAGAAAAAAAGGUGACAUUUUGUCUCAUCUUUUUUUUUUCCUUUUCACUGGCCAAAACGGGCUUCCAUACAAAACCCUGGACCUUUGAAGAAUUUUAUGAACUCCCCCCAGACAGGCCGUACAGCCCCCCGAAAGAGGACAUGUCCGGGUAAAAGAGGACUUAUGGUCACCCUUAGAGUCUUCAUACACAACACUGUCUAUACUGAUAGUAUAUGUCCUAGAAACAGGAAGCAGAUCAUUUUCAGUGCUGACAACCCAGAGCCCCGAGUGCAGGUUUUGUGUGUUCACACAGUCUCAGACAUCUUAAGGUAAAAUAAUCCUACUUUAAGACGCUGAUCAGAGCUCGUUCUCCGUGAAACGAUGGUUUGAUUGUCCCUAGUUUCGUAACUUUCUCUGUUGUUGAUUCCUACUGAGUGCGACCUCUUGACUUUUACCCAAACUAAACACAGACAUUUGUUUCCAAUGAAAACACAAGCGGAACAAUUCAAAACAGAGGCUCGUAGCAGCAUUCUUUGGUUUUUGAGAUUAAGAUGAAAUGUGUCUGUGCGCCAUCGGUCGCCACAGAAAUGACUCUGUUUCUCUUCUGCGCUCUUUCUCAGCAGAAGAGAACAAAAGAAUGAGGAUUAUCUGUGGACUGAAUUCCAGCUUUCAGUUCAUACAUCCUGUUGUCCAUUUUAGAUUUUUUUUUUCCUCUUUAAGGUAAAACAUGAGGUUUUAUCCUUUUAUUAGUGUUAUUGAACAACAAUCCAACAACAGUUCAAGAAAAGUCUGGAUAUGAGUUUGAAAAUUGUGCAAAGACGACACAUGAAAUGCCGGGUCUAAAAACUGUUUUUUUUUUUAGAUAUACUAAUUUUAGAUCUGAUUUCAGUACAUGUGGAUGUGCCCUUUUUCCUUGAUACAGUCUGGCUUUUGGUUCUUCUCUGCUGAACAGAGGAUGUUGUUUCCAAAAGGGUGCCAAAUUUCAUAUGCGGAUCCCUUUUUGUGUGUUACAGUUUUAAGCUGCAUUUCAGUGAGGAACCAGAAUCAUGUCUGAGUGUCCACCUGGGGGUCUUAAGAUCACAGUCUGAGCCUGCCAUUGGAAAACACAUUUGACCCCUCUAAUUCGCACUUUAUAAGUCAUGUAAGACAUCGAUAUGAACUAAAAUAGCACAACACACUUGUUGAAUAAAUAAGACACCUGUCCACACACACAAAAAAAACACUUUUAUUCAUAACUUGCCAAAGAUCUCAUUAACGUACAAUAGUGUUUACAGUUUGUGAGAAUAUAGAUAGUUUGCUCCUCUUCCUGGUUUUGAACACUUACUUCGACUUUAAUUCUCUGAUACAAACGCGCAGAUGUUUUAUUUCAACAUUCGAUGAGGUCCUUUUGCAAACCCUUCAUUGUCCUGUGAUAGAUUUCUGUUUCUGUAUUGUUUUAAUUGUCUUUUGCCCAAAGACUGAAAGAAUGAAAACAUUCAUAAAACAGAAAUUAGCCUCAGCAGACAUCCAGUAGACAUUAUGCCAAGUAAAUCCUCCUCCUCCUUAACAUGUGGCAUCUGUCUGUGAAUGUGUCACGUGAUGCAUGUGAACAUUUUAAAGCACAAUUAUCAGCCACAGGUGCAAGUGAGCUAUAACCUUUUAUACAAAUUUUCAGGAAAUACAAUGAGCAGUUUGACACCUCCUCAUAUAAAGCUAUAAAUACUGGUCUGAAAUUGGACCAUUGAGAUCAAGGAAGCGCUGAUAAAAGUCUCUGUGUGCAUCAAUCAGACACAGGCAGCAGCUGAGAACCUCGUUCUCUUUCUUACUGAGAAAAAUGCCAACAAAUUUGAACUAACACAGACAUUAUGUUUGACAGCAUGAUAGGAAGACUGACGGGGUGUUUGGAGCUGAUGAAACACAGAAAACAGUGAGGUAAAUACUGGACAGUUUGGUCACAAAGUACUUUUGGUCUGUUUGGAGAAAAGUGACAGCUGUGAGGACAUCAACAGUUCCUGUGUUUUCUUUUUAUCUCGGUCUCUGUUCUUUGCUCAUGUGAAACAGAAGAGCUUAAUUCAGCCCACUGUGGCAGAGCUCCAUUCAAACAUCAGUCAAGUUUAACCGUGACUAAUUCUAAACGAACGGGACACUUCGGGUCAACUCUGACAUCUUUUAAUGUUUGCAGGGAGGAUUUCAAAGCAUGUCUCUCUCCUGACUUUAAUCUGAAGUCAAGUUCUGCUUCUGAUCAAGUCCUUGUCCUGUGCAAUAACUUUUUGGUCUCAUUGUUUUACCAUGUGGCUGAAAUCAAACUCACAUUCCCAGAGCCUAGGAUUGUAACUUUCACAAUUUACUAUUUUCAACAUACAACUUGAAUUUUUAGAGUUUCAAUUUAAAGGAAUUAACAGCCUCAAUUGAUAUGACUUCAAUGAACAACUUUGGGCGACUAAGUUGGGCCUUGUCUGUCUGUCUGCCUCCUCAUGUUCAGCCUUAUGUAGGUGCUCCUUGUUGUACGCUGAAUGAUUUGAGGUCUGUAUAUGAGUCUAAGGAAGUCCUAAAUCAGUUUGUCAAAGUGUAUAAUUGGCUGAGAAGUUGAGGAACAAAUCAUUCAAAGAAUAAGUGUGUGUAUUUGUGUCAGAUGAUCAUCAGAUAUCAUCCUAUUGUCUACUAUUCACAAGGCACUCUGUUCUAAUUGAGACGAUUUUCUAUCGUAUUGUGAAAAACGUGUUCACGGGAUGACACCUUCUUCUCCAUGGGAAAAACUAUUUUAUAUAAUGAUGUUUUGAACCGGAAGAGUGGCACACAGUGGGGUAAAAAUAUUGGCAAAGGUAGUGAGGUGACCCUAUACUCACUUCUUCUCUCUAAGUAUGUUCUAAGUAUCUAAGAUCGUUUUACUUAUCUGUUAAUAUUGUGGAUAGGUUUAAUCAUUCAUACGGUUGAUAAAAAGGUCAAAAUAUGGUGUCUGAGAGCUCAUUUUUUUAAAGACACUGUAUUGCAAUCAUAGACCGUAUAUACUAUGGACAACUUGCUUCUGCCCUCCGCCAUUAUACGGAUUUGAAGCCGAAAAGCUCUCGGCAUUUCCCUUUUUUUUUCUCCACUUCCUGAAACCAACAUUGCGCAGUAGCGUUGUACACACUCCACCACUUGCGAAGAAGGAUUGUAUGCAUUUGAUAGGAGAGUCACUGUGAUGAUGCUCGGCUCAAACAGCGUAUCCCCCAGGUGAGCUACGCAAUCUUCGUACGCCCACAGGCUGUAUCAGGUGUCAAUCAUAGAAAACAUGAACCCCCCAAUAACUUUUAAAAAUGGAGCUGUACAGAAAAAAGCACAAACUAGUCUUACAGUAACUACAUGUCAACAUCACAAUCAGGGGGGAGAAAAAUGUAUAUUCUGUGUAAUAAAUUUCUAAAGUUUGUCCACAGUUCCAUAGGGAUUGCUGGAGGAGGCAGGAUUUAUGACCUAUACUGCAGCCCGUCAUCAGAGGCCGUGUUCUCAGGGUGGCUUCACCCAGCGAGGAGGCAGACGGUGUCCAUUCUAUAUACAGUCUAUGAUUGCAAUCAUUGAACAUAACCCAACGCUGAGUUUACAAACAGACAGAGGCUCCAGGGUCUGAGAGGGAAACAAAAAUAAAGAGAAUAAAGUAAAUAAAAAGCGUAUAGUGGGUUUUAAUCUUGGAUAGGACUACAAGGAGCUUUGUGUGAUCAGUGUGGUCUGGUAGAAAUUUGGGGUCAGACCCCCUGAAAUAUUCUACAAAUGUCCCAGAGUGCAUGUCUGACAACAGCUUAAGAGACUUAUCACCGUGGUUAUGAGCUCCAAAGUGCCUCGUGGUUAGUUAGCAGGUCUUUAGGCACAGCUGUUUCAAAGCUCAGUAUGAAGCAGACCAGGGCAGUCUGCAGAAAAAGUUUGUAGAUUUCACAAGAGUCCAUCAGCUGCAAUUGAUGUGAAUCAGUCUCUCGAUGGGAACGAAUAGAAUGUUCAGUAAAUAUGGACUGACCUCGGGCUUAGUGAGUGCGCACACAUUCGGUAUUUGUGUGCACAUGCUUGUAUGUGCUCCAGUGUUUUGAUAAAAGUGUCAUAAUAUUAUUAUGGGAUAGAGAUGCCAAGACAAAAGCGGUGUAAUCCGGCCCUCCUGUCAAACACACUUAAGACCUGGACAACGAGAGGUAAACUAGACAAACCUUGUGAGUGUGUGACUGUGUGUUUUUCUGUGUGUAAAAGGAGUAUAACGCACUUUCCCGUAGCAAUGACAAGGUGUAGUGGACCACCCUGUCGAGGAGCUGUCUGUUUUGUUGUUGUUGUUGUUGAUUUCAGUGUUGUUCAGCCAAAUGUUCAGUGUGCUGACUCACAGCCACUUCCACUUUUCCCAGAAACAGGUUUGGAAGAAUCAGAGGUGCAGCUGUACGAAUUGUUUUUAUCAAACUCAAUUUGGAGAGACAGAUGAGAGGAAUGAAGCUUGUACUGUAACAAGUUCAAGACCCAUGACUUCUAGAAAUCCAGAUCAGACAUUCAGGAAGAAUGAAGCAGCUUCAUGACAGCAUAUACUCCUCUGAAACACAGUCAUUUUUUAAAAUACUGGUUAAAACAAACAGUUUUUCUUUAUUUGCUGCUUCUUUACGUACUGUGGGCUCUAUUUUCAUGCCUCGCCGGAGACAUGUCGCAGGCAUGGUGUAAGUCAGGUCCGCCGCGCUGACAAGGCGUUCCCAAGCACAAUUUGGUAUUUUGGUGGGCGGCGCAGCCUGGCGUAAGUAUCCCCCCUCCCUAACUCAGCUCCUCCCAGCGGCUUAAGUCGUAGCGAGGGAGGAGAGAGGGCGUUGAGUGGGUUUAACACAGCCGAGACCUGUUUUCACCAAUCACAUCAGCUACUCUCCUCGCCUUUAAAUCCGACACCGGCGAGGCGUCUUACUAUUUUCGUGAAGUAGUCAAAGAGAUCAAGAGAUGUCUGAAGACAGUAAUGCCACACGAUGGCGACAGAAGGCAGCUCCUCAACAAGUGUCGCUGUAAGCGCUGCAUUGGGCAUCAUUCACACUCUCUCAUAUGAGCACAGAUGGAUUUGGUGUGUGUAAUGUUGGACCCUUUUCCACAAAUAAAGACACUCACAUAAAGUUGCAUAUAUUCAAACCUCACGUGACAAAGGUGGGUUGUUCACACAGAUCACAACAUAAACUCAAAAAAUGGCAUUAAAAUCGGAACCAUCUGUGCGUAAAUGACGCAUCGCGCUCCGUGGCCUGGCUCUUUCUUUCAUAGACAUUGGCAUAUAAAAUAAAUUUGGCUCACAAAACUGAAUAUUAUAAUAUCCAUAUGUCGGCUUAAAGUAGAUAACUCAUCUGAGCACUGAAACAAAUCAUCUGUUCAGCUGGCUGUCCGCUGGGCUCCGCCAGACGAAAAUACAACUGCUCGUCAAAACACACUGUUAUAGUUGUAGAAGGGGAAGACUGAACUGAGAUCAACUCCACACACACACGUGACUGCAUCCACAGAAAAACGUCCAACAUUUGGUGCUUAGAUUAAUGUCAAACAGAGAUGCAAAAACUUGGGCCAGUUUCAGUCCAAUGGAGUGUAUAUAUGAAGACAAAAACUAAAAACACAUUAUCUACUGUGGGUAUGUUAGUCCAGCUAUGAGUAGUUUGAUUUAGUGUGAUUUCAGUCUAUGUAGGGCAAUAAAAAGUGUUGAAGACAGCAUGGUACAGUUGACCCCAUCUGUAGAGGCUAAUAGUCCAGCUUCUGUUCUGGAUCUACAGACAAGUGCCUGAACUGACUGACAGCCCCCUGUGGGUAAUACUAUAAACAAGUACAGUACGUCAACUUAAAAUAUCCGAACGAUCCGUUUAAGCUUUUAAAGUAUUCAAAAUAUGUUCUGAAGAAGGUCAAUUAUUUGUAGAAAUGGACAGAUGGCUUUGUCAGAGUUUUUCUGUUUUCCCAGAGUUCUCUUCACUGUCUAAUAAAACCCAUAAACUGCUGAAAAAUCAUCUGUAAAUUUGUAAGACUGCAGUCAGAGUGACGCCUCUUGUUCAGCCCUGUCAGCACCUAAUGUCAGCAACUUUCCCGUUCUGGACUGACGGUCAUUAAAUGGACUUUAUACUCCACAAUAAGCAAACUUACUGACCUGUAGCUCAGUCUGCUGAAUGCACAGCUCUAAUACUCACUUCCCCCUGGCCUGCUGUACAAUAGCACUGCGCUAAUGUAAGAAGCCUCUGGGAGGGCGUGCAGAGAGGUGAGUGUUAAUAUGAGCCGAGUGUUGACAGCUUCAGGGGGUCAUAUAGACUCGUUACCUGAGGACAGACUGUGGAGGUUUGUAUCCUGCUUCAAUAAAACAAUAUGAGUUUUUUCUGUCUGUCUGUCUGACUUCCACUUCUCUGUCAUUCAGCCUGAAUUUAUACUCUUAUAAAUCACAGACAGUAAGACGCAAUCACUCACUCACUUUACUGUAAAACAGUCUCUAAAAUUCCCUGUAAAAAUGAUCCUCCUGGAGGUUUUUUUUUCAUCCGAAUGGACUUUAAAAGUGUUUAUUAGGGGUGUUAGGACACAUUUUAACCCAGAUAUGAGACCUAUUACACUACAUGGUUGGCAAUAAGAUGCAAGAAUGAUAUAUAGUAAAUUUAUUCACAGCAAUGCAAUGUAACAUGACCAAAAAUGGUACCUAUUUGUUCAAUAUUUCAGUGUGUUUAAAAGAAAUAUGUGAAUAUAUGGAAUACCCGGUUGAGUUCCACCCUUUACCUGGUGUAACCCUGUGUAUGAGUUCUUGGCAGAAACUCUGGGACAGUCCCACAUAGGACUCAUUUUACCGUCCUACAUGGGGCACAGUUUUCAGCCCUUUUAGGACCAUGAUGGCCCCACAAACAAAUGCAGGCUGCACAAGUUAGAAGCUCAAUGAGAUGAUGAGGUUCACAGUGUCAAAUAGAGGGAUAUCAGACAAGACAUUUAAACAUUUGAAAUAGGAAUUUAAAACACAAGCCUCCCUUGAUUUACUUUUCUCUAAUGCUUGGCCUUUAAACUUCUGGUACCCUUCAGAUCACCCUCUCUCUCCUCUUUCCCUUCUUCCUCUUCUCUUUUAUGGAGAGAGUAAAUUAGCUCCUGCAAAGGAAAACAUGGAAAAGGCAGCGGUGCUGUGUAGCUGUCAUGAUGUCAUUGAGUCCCUCUGCUCAGUUUAAGUUAUCUGGAGCCGCUUUAUGACUGCACUGAGUGUGUGAGUGGUUGUGUGUGUUUCUGCAGAAAGAAGUGUGUGCAAAGGGGGAGAUUUUUCUCUUUUUUAAGUGUGUGUAUGUGUGUGUGUGUUUUACGACAGGCUGGGGGCUCAGUGUGCUUACCUACCUAAUAAAUCCCGACAAGCUCUCCACAAUAACCUGGAUGAGGUUUCUCUUUUCUCUCACUCACACACUCGGCCGGACUAACCUCUGAGCUCCGCUACAUAUUAUACCUGCCACCUACUGUUUCCUCAACUGCUGGACAGGAGGGAACACACACCCACACACACACUUACACACACAUCCGUAUGAACAUUGCGCUCUGUGUCCUCAUACUCACACGGUCCACCAAACACCCCAUCUUUUCACAUGUACAGAGCUCACACGUCUUCUACACACACUCGCAUUUGCAUGAGGAAGUGUAUCUGAACUGCAGGACUUGUGGAGAAUGUGUCAUAGAAAUUGACCGAAUGGGAUCUGAUCUCUGGUCUAUUUUAUUCUGUCAUUUAAGUAUCACCAGAUCAAGAGGAAUACUUCUGUAAAACACAUUUACGGAGGGUUUUUUAUGUGUCUUCAGAUAAUGUCAUUGGUCUAGUCAGACAGUGUUACUCUGUGAAAACAUCCAUCAGUCAGUCACCUCUGCAGUUUGGGUGUGUCAUCCCUGCAGCUCCAGUUCGCUGUUAUACCAAAGUUAGACAAGUUUUUAUGAAUAUGGUUUUGGUUUUUUUGGUGUGUGUGUGUGUGUGUGUGUGUGUGUGUGUGUGUUUUAUUCAUUUAUUUAUUUUCUGUCUGUGUGUGCUUGGUUACAAACCCCCAAUCCCAAUGAAGUUGGGAUGUUGUGUAAAACUUGAAUAAAAACAGAAUUCAUGACUUGUGAAUCAUUUUCCACCUGUAUCCAGUUAAAUACACAACAAAGACAAUAUACUCAAUGUUACAAACACACCCCCAGACCAUCAUCGAUGCUGGCUUAGGACUUUGACCUGAGAGCAGUCUUUAUGGUCCCCUUUAGCCCAGAGGACACCAUGGCCAUGGUUUCCAAAAACAGUUUGAAAUGUGGACUCGUCAGACCACUACACACCGUUCCACUUUAAUCAGGUCCAGAGAAGUCGUUGGUAUUACUGGCUGUUGUUGAUAUCUGUCUUUGUCUUUGCAUGGUAGAGUUUGAACUUGUAGAUGUACAUGUAGAGAGGAACUGUGUUAACAAUGGUGUUGACAAUAGUUUUCUGAAAUCGUCCUGAGCCCACAUGGUAAUACCCUUUACAGAAUGAUGUGGGUUUUUAAUGCAGUGCCGUCUGAGGGGUCAAAGGUCAAAGUCUCUGAAUCUUUGAUAAUACUUUGGACUGUAGAUGAUCAAAUCUCUAAAUCCCUGCUGUCGUUUGUUGAGAAAUGUUGUUCUUAAACUGUUGGACUAUUUGCUCAAACAGUUGUUGACAAAGCAGUAAACCUCGCUCCAUCCUUACUCAUUAACAACUGAGCCUUUGGGGGAUGCUCCUUUUAUACCCAAUCAUGACCCUCACCUUUUUCCAGUGAACCUGUUUACUUGUGGAAUGAUCUAAAUGUAUUUUUGGAGCAGUCCUCAAUUUUCCUCCUUGUCUUUUGUUGAUCCUGUACCAACUUUUUAGGAGCCUGUUAGAGCAUUAAAUUCAAAAUGAGCGAAUAUUUGCCCCAAAAAACGAUCAAGUUUAUCAGUUUGAACAUUAAAUAUAGAGCUCAAACUGAAAUCCAUUUAGGUUUCCUGCUGAGCAAUAGACGGCUAUUAGAUGUUUAGUUUUUUUAAGACCUAAUUUCAACCGUCUAGAUUCUGUAUAUUUUUAGACAGAAUUUAGACGUUGCACUUCAACCCACUUUAUUUGAUAACUAUUUAUUUCAAAGAGCAACUGUGAGUUGCAUAACUGAUCUCCGAGUACUUAACCAAAAUAAUUAUGAUAACCUUUGAGCACUAUACAGUGUAGUAUGAAUAUAGCUCUGUUAGCUGGCUAGUCUAAACUUGGUCUAAAUUUAGACGUCUAAAAAACUUUCAUUUCUAGACCUGUAGUAGCCUGAUUUUAGACCAGUCGUCUCGGCUACAUUUAGACGUCUAUUAGAGCUCUUAGACCAAAAAAUGCUCAGUGGGUGAAGAAUGGAUGGUUUUGAACCUCUCUCUUUCUUGAUAUAGAUCUUGUUUCAUUUUUUUGUCUCCCACUCUCUCCCUCACUGUUCUUCUCACCCACCAAAAAACUCUCUUGCUCCCUCUUUCGUCCUCUCCUGUGCCACACACACACACACACACACACACACACACACACACUCAUAAACACACACCCAUGCAGAGAAGGCAGUGAGGGAUGAAGUCAUUAUCAGCUCUAAUAGGUGACGUGCCAGCUCUUUCCACAGCACUGCAGGGAAAUAACAUGACAGCAAAACAAACGACGCCAUUACUCAUUCCUAACACCACCUGUAAAUCAACUCUGUGUGUUUGUACGUUUGAGUGUGUGUUUUAACAGGUUGUUUGCUUCACAACUGCAACCGGUGGAAAAUAUGAACCCUACACAUGACUGACAAUGUACAUAGAGUGCACACACACUCACACACAUACACACACACUCACAAGUUUCACACUCUGCUCAUGUUUUGCUGACAACAGAUUAUACACACACUAUGGCCAAUCCCGGUUAAUAUUUUCCACUACAGGGCUAAAGAGGUUGGCCAAGGCUCACUCAGAUGCUAAUUUGUCACAACUUAAACCCAACAUGGCCGCUGAGCAUCCAUCACAGCAUAACACUGUGUACCAAAAAGAGCAGAUAAUCAUCUCUUAGUCACUCUGCUCUUUGAGACAAGGCCUAAAACUCUUUCUAAAAGCUUUCUGAUGUUAUCACUUGUUACUAAAAAUUGUGUAAAUACAGGAUUUCAAAUUUCAAAUGUUUCAACAAUUUCAAAUGAAACAAACAAAAAAAAAGUGUUUAAUUAACUGGAAAAACCUAACUCGCUAUUUUAUAACACCAAAGAUGAAAUCUAGGUAACUCGCCAUACAACAAGACUGCUGGAGAUUAUGUGGGAGUGUGGAAGCACACAUCUUCUGGAAUUGUAUAAAAAUAAGGAUAUACUUGCAAAAUGUUAACUUGUUUAUAAAAAUGUUUUGGGAUAUCAAAUCCCAAAUACUUGCCCAGUGAUGUAUCUUAAAGAUAUUGAGAAUGGUAAUGAAAGAAGAUCUGUACUUGACUAAAGUAUUAAUUGCAGCAAGCAAGAAAGCAGUCAAAAAAACCUGGCUCAAUGUUAACACUCCAAACCAGGAGCAGUUGUUGGAAAUUGUCAAGGAAAUCCUUGUUAUAGAAAAAUUGACAUACCUGUUGAGACUUAAAGAGCACAUAUUUGGAAAAAAAUAAAAAAAUAAAAAGAACAGAAAAAUCUAAUAUUUUUAUGAGACAUGACACCUACUGAACAAACGCUAAAUGGAACGGUGGACUGAAUAGUACUGACUCCAGACAGUUUCUUGGUGUUAUUAUUGUUACUUGUACCUUGUCUGCUGUGUUGUUUUUGCAUAUACUUGUGAAAAUGCAAUAAAAAAUUGAUGUUAUGAAAAGGAGUAAUUGUCAGAAAGUUUGGGUGUGAGAAAGUUCUGUAUUGUUAAAAAAAGAACAUCGGGAGGAACAUCUCUGAACCAACAAGGUUGAUUUACAACAGAUUAGUAACAUGAUUAAGAACAUAAAGGCUUUUCAGGUUGAGACUGUCUGAAGAUGGUAGGAGGGUCACCACUUGAGAAUAAGUUCCUCACAGUAAUAUUGUAAUCACCAUGAUCCAUGAGCUUCAGGCCAAGUCAGCAUUGCAUCAAAAACAGACAUGACUCUGUUGUGGGAAUCACUGCAUGGGUUCAACACAUCACUUCCGAAACCAACCAAGUGACCACAGUAAACUGCUAAAUCCACAAAUUCAGGUUAGAACCGUAUCAGGCAAUAAGGUCACCACAUCUUCUGCUCUAAAGAGGAGAGAGAUCACUGGGCUUGUUAUCUUCUCACAGUUUAAAGUCAGCAUCCCUGAUGGUUUGGGGAUCAUCAGUGUCCAUGUCAUGGGUCGCUCACAUAUCUGUUAAGGCUGAACUAAAUAUACAGGUUUAUAUGCUGCCAUCCAGACAAUGACUUUUUCAGGGAAUGUCUUGCAUAUUUAGGCAAGACAGUAUCAAACCAGACUCUGCUGGUAUUACAAUAGCAUGGCUCUGUAGUAGAAGAGUCCUGCUACUGAACUGGUCUGACUGCAGUCCUGACUUGUUACCCAGUAAAAACAUUUGGUGAGAAAUAUCAACAAAGGAGACCCCAAAACUGUUGAGCUGCUAAAAGUGGCCCUACAUUUCAUCUCCCAAAGUUCAGAAACUGGUCUGCUGGGUUCCUAAAUGUGUUGGUAAACAAAGAGCUGAUGCAACACUUAGGUUAACAUCACCCUGUCAGCAUUCUGAAAUGUGUUGCAGGCGUCAGAUUAAUCUUAGCAUGUCUCAAUAUUUGAUCUGCUGUCAUGCUGUUUUUCAUUCAAAUGGAUUUUUAUAAUUUUAAACCAUCAAAUCCUGUUUUUACUAUCACUCUGAGCUUACUGAAGCAUAGACGGCUUCUUUUCUAAGUACCUCCAGAUGUUGAGCUGUGGUUUUAUGGUGUUUCAUUACCAGAUAGUCUUUAUUUGUACAAAUAAGAGUCUACUGUUUAGACAAUAAACUUAUGAGGAUUUAGCUGAAAGUAAUCCAUGCUUAAUCUUCUUGUGUGACCUACGUGGACAAGAACCUUCAGGGUGGACUAAUUUUGACAACUCUGUAAAUUAUAAAGCCUACAGCAGAUGAGCGAGACUAGAAACGUGAUCAUCCUUAUACAAGCUGCUGAAGGUGUGAAGUUCUUCAGGGUCUCUCGGCGGUUUUACUCAGCGCUGGUGUUAAUCCUCUCUAAACCGUCAGCAGCUGGACCUGCAGGAGGACCGACAUAAAAAUGGAGAGCUGCUCAGAGUAAAGAGUCUGAAGGGACCGUCCAUGAAAACCAGGCUGAAGCAAUUAAACACCGAGCAAACAACGAGCCACUCAACACAGCCUGGACCCCCUACACACACCUUUUCAACGGGAUAUUUUCUGGUAAUGCUACUGCCAACCAACAAAUAAAAAGUAAAACAACACCAUUGUCUAAGUAUUUUACAUGUGUGUGUCUUUGUGAAUGUGCGUGUGUGAGUCAUCCAGUCUGUUUUUUUCAUGCAGUGGCAGCACUGAUGGUACAAAGGCCAAGAAAACUUUGAGAAGCACACAUAUAGCCAUUGAUUAAAUCACCAACAUAUCCUUAUUUAUAAGACACUUCUUAACUUGCUUCAGUCUAACUAUGUUAUCGUGUUAAUUUGAAAAAUGUUAGAAGAUACAGUCUCAACUUUUUGACCCGGUCACUAGACUCUGGUCGAACAGCUGUCCCCUCUAAAUAUCUUUAAAACUAGAUUCAAAUCAGGCAUGCUGAAGAUGCUUUGAUGAAUCUCUUAUAUCAUCCAGGAAAUGUCGACACAUAUUAGUUACUGUGUUGUGUUUAGUAUGUCUGUAACUUUUCUGAAAUCUGGUGUCUUAACCAGGACACUCCAGUAAAAUAGAUUUUUAAUCUCAAUGAGGCUUUCCUGGUUGAAUAAAUUUAAAUAAAAUGAUAAAAUAAGUACAUAAAUGAAUGAAUUUCUUUCAAAGAUAACGUGACAGUGUAUUGGUGUUAUUUCAGCACUUAAAUCCUAGAAGAUAAAGUGAUCAAAAGGUGUCUAUCAUGAGCUCAGGCAGUCCUGUGAUGACACCACGUGAUGCACUGGACUACCAAGGACUGUGUUUUUAGUUCAUAACUCUAACCAUAGUCUGUAAUGUUAAGUGAUACAUCAAACCUUUAUUUUGAAAUGCUGUGAGUGGUGUGUGUGUGUGAGUGGACUGGCACUAAGGUCGAUGUGGGUAUAUACAGUAGAACCAAAUAGGAGAUAACGCAUGACUGAAACGCCCUGAUUUCCGCAGGGACCUGGAUUUGUUGGAUGCAAGGCAGUCGCAACAUCACCCUGACCAUACCUGUAGCAACAACACAAGAGUCCCAGGCAUACUGUCCCAUAACUGAAGUCCUCAAACUGCAGCCUUUGGCUCUGCAAAGACUUAAUAUUGUACAGCUCUGCAGACAUGAGCUGCUUAUGAGUACCCUGACGUCUUUCACUUCCAUUUUUUUGUAUCUUUUGUCGUUUCACUAUUAUCAGUUUUCAAUAUCGUAAAUUAACACAUGAUUAUUUUUAGAUUAAAGCUCUUAUGAGGAGUUUUUUAUGUCAUAAAAUGGAAUUCGUGUUGAUACCUUUUCAUAAUAUCCAAAAGCAAACAAGUCUAUCAGGGACAAGAUGGAUCAUUUGUCAAUUAUCAUUUUUUACGCCUUAAAACCUGCGUGUGGGGGGGGAGCUGUCAGCCAAGCAGCUGAAGUCCACAUAAAAUAUUCACAAUUCAGGAUAGAUUUGACAAGGUAAAAAGACUGGUUUGUCCACAGGGGGUGCUAAAAUUGACACAAACAAAAAGUUCCUAACUGGAGCUUUAUAAGCUUUACCGUUUUAUCCACAUUUAUGACCCCAAAGCCUUUAUGUCACACUUUGAUGUAUAUCCCCUACAAUAAACUUUAAAGGGUUGUCACAUUUUAAAAAAAUGAUAAAAGUCUAAUCAGCUCCUCUGAUUUUAUGCUUGUUAGCUCUCCGUCAUGUGGCUGUGAACUGCACAAUUUAAAUAGGGCACUGAAAGACAAGAACGUCGACCUGAUGUUCGGGUGUCAGAGUGACGUCAUUAUCAAAAUGACGGUUAAAUUCUCAUGUCUGCUCAAAGCGACAUGUAGCAAAUGAGGAGAAGUUGAUGGUUUAUUAAUAAAAUGUUCAGUUUUUUAAGGUCUCAGGUCUAAGAUGCCACUUUUAACAUCUUCUUCAUUUCUGCUCGAAAUGGUCCUGACACCAUCAUGUGACUGAUGAUUUAUGUCUUUUUUCAGCAUUUAAAUGUAUAAAAACCCUUAAUGGCCAAACCUACAGCUCAAGGUCCUCCACAUCGCUCAUCUGGGAUGAAACUCUGACAAAACCUCCAUUAUUCUUCUAACAUGUAAGCCCUUUCUGCUGUAGUGUGUACUUUUUCUGUCUAUAUGAUUUAACAUCAGUCUCUUGAAUAAAAUGAUUUAAAUGUGGCCCUGCCAAUUAUUCCAAGACUUUACAGCCAUAAAUACAGCAGUUAUUUUCUUUAAUGUGGUCUUGUUGAGAAAGAGAUCACUGCCACUGCAUGGAGUCAUAACCGCAGAAAACAAACAUUUCAGCUUUUUAAUUCUUCUUCUGUGGUUAAAACGCUGCGGUUUGGCUCGUUCUGCGGUUUGGAGCUUUAAGUGGGCUGUUUCAAUGAGCUGUUAGUGAGCGGACGCCUCUGGGGUGUGAGCGUGUACAUGGAUGUUUCAUACGUGUUCGUGCCUGGGCUUUCAGAGUGUGUGUUUGUGUUCAUGCAUAUUUAUGUGUGUGUGUUUGUGUGUGUUUGAGCCCCUGAGCUCUGGGAGUCUAUAAAGCAGCUCGGACCGUUCAGAGGGUGAUUAUAUGUUCACACAAACUUAACAGAGGUGAGGUCACCUCUGCACGCUGUGUGAGUGUGUGACAGUGAAUCAAACUGUGCUGCCAACAGCAACAACUCUGCAUCGCCAUGAUGCAAGGGUCAACCUGUCCCUCCCUUUCUCCCUACAUCCUAAUCUUUCUUACUUUCUUUACUCCCUUAUUUGUUCUCUUAAUAAGUCCUCCUUCCUCUACCUCCCUCCUUUUUUCUUUUUAUUUCAGCCUCUUUAAACCUCUGUUAAAAGUCUUUAAACACUUUGUUUUCAAAAUGUGUGGAGAACAAAAAUCUGUCAAAACAGUGAAUAAUGCAAAACCACAGUUAAAUGCAACAGAUGUUGUACAGCAGGGAUAAUGAAAAUUGACAGAGCCUGUACCUGACAUCUCUCCACCCAAGAUAUCAGGUCAUAAGAAUUUAACAUGUUUGAUUUUUGCCUUUGGAGAAGAGAAAUCAAGAAAAUCAGGGGGAGUAAAAUCAUUCUCAGCAACAUAUGAGAGUUAUGUGAAAAAUUCAAGAACAUUUUGUGAGUGUGAGUAAAAUAAAUAAGCUGCAAUAAAAAUGUGGAUUAAAAAAGUUCAAAGUAUCCCAGCGUACUGUGUAACUCUUGUGUAAAUAGUAGAUAACUUUUGGAGACAUAUUAUGUGAGACAACAGACAGUUGAAUUUCCCCUCGAGGAUUAAUAAAGUUAUUCUUAUUCUUAUCUUUGCAGUAAAAGCUGACAGUGUAAGAGCUUGAACAUGAUCAGCUUUACAGUAAAAUUAGACUGACUAUAAUGGGAGAAAAUGCCCUUUUUCACUUUGUUUGUCUCUCAGAGAGCUGGUUAGACAGGAAAUCUUAGCCUAAAAGCUUUAUUUUGCUUGCCCUGUCUCCUUUUUAAACAUAAAGAUCAGACCCAGCUUCGAUUCAGUAUGACUGAGGGAUUCCCAACUGGGUCCCAGACCAGUACUGGGCCUACAGUUGUGUGGAGCUAGGCUGCAAAUCUGUUGACCCUGUCUGUAGUGACUGAUAACCAUCCCCUGUUCUGGUUCCAGUGUUGCCAGGUGAGAAAUGUAGGAUUAUUGCACCAGAGCGGGGUGGACGCAGCUGACCGCAUGCUUGUUGUUCUGAGGCAAACGCAUGGACAUCACUUGUAGCUCACAUUUAGAGAAGCACGAUUGGCUGGAAACUUGUCACAUGGAAACAAAUGCCUUCAGGGUUCACAAAACAAGGCAGACAGUCUCAACAGGCUGACUACAACCACGAGAAUGAUCAAAUUAUCGUAUUUUUGGCCUUUUUUGGGGAUUACUGAUUGUACUGAGGGCAAAACUUUUCUACAAACACAAUAAUUAUCCUACACCUGGCAACACCGUCUGGUUCUCCAGACACUUUCUCAACAAAGAGGCGCAGCUGACCAGCAUUUCUGUGGGUAUUAUACUGACCAUUUGCAAGUGCCUCAUACAACCGGACUUGAGAAAAAAAUGAGAUUUACCUUUAGGUGGAGUAUGAAUGAUUCUGCUUCAAAAGUGUGUUUGAGGUAGAAAGUUAGGAAACCUAGAAAACCACUAAUGGACCCUUUGACUCCUUCUGGCCUAAAAUCUGGGUUUGGUUUGACAUAUGACUUAAUUCAAUAAUAAAUCUGCUUCUCUGGCUUCUUUAAACACAACUUCAUCAAAUUGAAAACCAAACAUUUGCUUGCACAAGUGAAAACAAACGUGUGGAAAGCCCCUUCUGCUCUAACAACAAGUGCAUCAACUUUCAAAGUUUUGUUUUAAGGCAGAAUCGAUUCAUUGUUUAAAGAUUGAUCAGCUGCAAUUCAUCAGUCAAUAAUUCAAAACCACAGAUGAUGUAAAUCUGUGUAACGGGACUAUUUUGUGAUUCAGAGGCUUCAGGGUGACUCAAAACUCUAUUUUUAAUCUCGAUAAUGUCUUUUGCUUUUAUAUUCAGGAGCAGUUUACGAGUCUGGAUAUAAUUUUUGAAUUGGUAGCCGAAUAGUUUCCUCUUCAUAUUAAAUCUAUCUUCCGUUGUUAUGUCAAAACACCUCAUAAAAUGUCAUGGCAUCAGCAUGGUUUGAAACACUUUUUGAGGGCAUGAAUCAUCCCUCGAGACAUGCUGUUCAUGACUUAAAAAUGUAAGUCUAACUUUGACCUAAGAGUCUGCAGCAAUGCUACCAGCUACAGAUUCACCACUUCCUCAGUACAGCGAUGUUUUAUUUGUGUGAAAACCUUAAUUCAUUAAAAUUAAUGCAAAAAUGCAGACUCCAGUGUUAAGAAUACUUAUGAAGUACAGCUUGCGGGAACUUUUUAUGAGAAAUAAUCCUGAUCUAUACACUUAAAAACAAAAGUAAACUGUGGUUAUUUAUAAGUGAAUUUUAAUAAAAGAGUGUCAUUUGUGUUAUUAGCUGACUAUGCCAGGCGAAGGCAUAUUUGGGAAUUGGGAAAUUGUGAUAAGCAUAAAUAAAAAUAGAAUACAAUGAUUUGUGAAUCCUUUACAACCUAUAUUCAAUUGAAUACACUACAAAGACAAGAUAUUCAAUUUUCAAACUCAUAAACUUUAUUUUUUUUUGCAAAUAAUAAUUAACUCAGAAUUUCCCGGCUGCAACACAUGCCAAAGUAGUUGGGACAGGGGCGUGUUUACCACUGUGUUACAUCACCUUUCCUUUUAACAACACUCAAAAAACGUUUGGGAACUGAGGAGACUAAUUGUUGAAGAUUUGAAGGUGGAAUUCUUUCCCAUUCUUGCUUGAUGUACAGCUUCAGUUGUUCAACAGUCCGGGGUCUCCGUUGUCGAAUUUUACGCUUCAUAAUGCGCCACACAUUUUCAAUGGGAGACAGGUCUGGACUGCAGGCAGGCCAGUCGAGUACCCGUACUCUUUUACUACGAAGCCACGCUGUUGUAACACGUGCAGAAUGUGGCUUGGCAUUGUCUUGCUGAAAAAAGCAGGGGCGUCCAUUAAAAAAGACAUAUGUACCUUUCAGCAUUAAUGUUGCCUUCACAGGUGUAUCAGUUACUCAUGCCUUGGGCGCUAAUGCACUCCCAUACCAUCACAGAUGCUGGCUUUGCGUCCAUAACAGUCCGGUUGGUUCUUUUCCUCUUUGGCCAGGAGGACACAAUGUCCACUAUUCCCAAAAACAAUUUGAAAUGUGGACUCGUCAGACCACAGAACACAUGGCCUCAGUAAAUGAUGUUUUUCAUGCUUUUAUUUUAACAUUUUUUCAUCUCAGUUGCUUAAUUUUCUGUGUUAUCAAAUCAUGCCUUUAUUGUUAAGUAAGGUGGCUGGCUCAUAGGUGACAGACCUGUCUGUACAGUUAAUAGUUUGAAAAAAAGGUUAGAAAGUAAGAACAUUUGAUUGAUUAGUAACCUGAAGAGGCACAAUGGUGUUCAUGAAUAACAAUAUAUCUCGAAAAUCAAUAUUUAUACUUGGUGAUGGAAAUAAGGAGAAACUUAAUAUCAGGCAAUUUUGAUUCCAGUGUCAAUGAAAGACAGGACCAAACACUCAUGCUAGAGAUAUUAACAUUUACAUCAUUUCUGUAUGUGGUAAGUUUGAAGGAGUUCUGGUUUAAAGUUGUUGUUUGACUCCAGAUAUUAAGUCUUUCUUCUUUUACUGGCCAUUCACGCAGUUUUCAUGUCUCUCAAUGCAAACGAUGCACAUUUAUUAAAGCAACAUUCAUUAGCAUCUGGGUUUCCAGGGUAACCAUGACAAAACACACAUUCCACUUGAGCAAGGGUAACUGAGGUUUUCUGUUUGUUGAGUUUACUAUGAAGGUCUUCACUGAUUUGUUUUCCCUCCUUAUUGGAAGUGUGUUGGCUGUGGAUCUGCAGUUCUGGCGCUGCAGAUGGUCUGAUUGCUUUGUUUCUGAGGCCCGAGUGACAGAUGCUUUUAGUUCCCAUAAGUCUCCGCUGCUGGCACUGACACACACACAUACACACUGCAGAAGGCAAGUGGUCGAAUUCACUGUAUUUUAGUGUGUGUGUGUGUGUGUGUUAGUUUUGGCGGUGCUCCUGUAGCAGCUAUAAUCAGGGGCGUCUUUGACAUGUCACAGUUUCCCCACCUAGGCAUGACCUGCCCUCAGCCAGGAAACACAGAAUAAACCAGCAGUGCCAGAGCCUCAGUGUGUGUGUGUGUGUGUGUGUGUGUGUGUGCGCGCGUGUGUGUGUGUGUGUGUUUGACAGAUCAAGAUGAAUAAGAGUGAUCUUCUUGUUUAAGUGUAUAAAAACAUGUGUAUGCAUUUGAGCUUUACACACUGCAGAUGAAGGAGUUGAAGUUUAGUUUAGUUUAGUUUAUUAAGGAUCCCCAUUAGUCUACACCGCAGUGGAGACUAUUCUUCCUGGGGUCCAGGCAAAAACAUCAGAAAAUCACAAAACAAAUCAUACAAUACAAAGUAGUAAGUAACAAAGCAUCAGUGGGUGACUCUAAAGUCAAAUCAAAGCUCCAUUGUUAGCCACUGUGUUUUAAUUUUGGACCACUUUUAGAGCCUGUUAAUUGAAUAAAUAAAGAUAAAAACAAGCUGGACUCAAAGUCAGAGUUCGAAGAGGAGCUGGUGAUUUUUGCAGAGAGCACGGUCUCAUAGAACUGAUGCAUCCCAUCUUACAGGGUUUGAGGUCUUCACUUAUUUACUCCUUAUCUCCACUUUUGUGAACCGCAGUAAAGUUAAAGUAAAAUUCAGAGGAAAAAAGACAGAGAGGGAGGCAACAUCACAUAAAAGCAAGUCAAGAAGAGAUCUUCUCAGGCAGGUGGCUCCAUCUCCUUUAGUUUUACGUCUCAACUUCAAGAACAACCGGCGGGCCUCCACUUGAGACCCCCAACCGAGUGAAAGAAGGCCAUCAAUUCCCAUGUCCAGCAGUCAGCAGUAUGUUUGAGGUGGAGACACACAGAGUAAAUCCAAAAUGUGCCACACAACACGAUCGUAUUUCUUUUAAAUGUGUGUCAUUUUGGCCUACCUGCGAAUCUCAAACCUGAUUUAUAACCUCACUCCGCUAAGAGUAUUGUUGAAGAGAUGCCAUGUAGGUUGAGGACAUGUUACUUCAAAAGAUGGCGUUCAGAGGGAUUUAUCUACAGAAGGAUUUAUCUAUCUUCAGUCUGUGAAUGAAAAUGUUAGAUUGUUCUACAGGAUCAGAAAACUGGUCAACACUGAUUUAUAUCCAUCUUUUUGUCUGUGUAUACUGAGUAUUCGACAUUCUGAAUUGUUGGUAUAAAAAUCAUCUUUUUGUCUCGGUAAAUCAUGGCCUAAAUUGAGUUUUAUAAGUUAUAAGCUGUGAUCAUGCCUUAAAUAAAUCAAGUUGAAUUUUUAAAACUUUUGUGGUCUCAGGUGACGACAAGUUGAUUUCUGUUCAUGCCUUUCACCUCAGCCCAGCAGGAAGUCCAGUUUCUCUGCUCCGCUUUUCCCGUUUCUGUUAUUUGACUCAAAUCAACAGCUGGCAUUGUCUCUCACACAUCUAAAAUAUUAAAACAAACCAAAGGCCAAGACAAACUGCUGAACGUGAAUUCUUAUGUUAAAAAUGUUCACUAGAGGUUUGUAUGGAGCACACGAGCAGAAGUAUGAUUCUUGCACCCUUCAUUCCUGCACCUUUGAGAGACCUAAAGAAUGCUGAGUCAGCAUCAAAUUAUGCAGUUACUGUAUAUCAAAUCCAAGCUGGCUUUUCAAACUCAGUUUUUAUCUCAGCCUGAGAAUGAUAAUUUUUCAUAUUUCAGGACAUGAUUUAAAGAAACUCUGUUUGACUCUAUGUCCACUAAACUCGUCCAAAUGGGCCAAAAAGACAUUGUCUAAGUUACUAAGUAAAUGCACAAAGGGUUAAAUGCCCCCAAGACAGCACUGCAGAGCAAAUAGCAGCUCUUUGCACUAUUGUUGUUUUUACCUCCGCCAAGGAGGUUAUGUUUUCGGUAGCAUUGGUUUGUUUGUCUGUUUGUCUGUUAGCAACUUUACGGAGAAAGUAACAGACGGAUUGACCUGAAAUUUUCACCAGAGGUGUGUCUCAGCCCCAGGAGGAUCCCAUCACAUUUUGGUGGUGAUCCAGAUAAAAUUGUGGAUAUUGUGAUCCAGAACACACAAAAUAAGGGUGUCAUUGGAAUUUUCAAUGCUGAAAGAUAACAAAUGGGCGGCACAGUGGUGUAGAUAGGCGGCACAGUGGUGUAGUGGUUAGCACUGUCGCCUCACAACCAGAAGGUCCUGGGUUUGAAUCCCGGUCAGGGCAUUUCUUGUUUAAGGGGGGACAUGAGCUGCUUGGCGGAGGUCUGCGCUCUCUGAGUGCUUUUCUAGUUAUA